rnacentral:rRNA from 1 species
AACGCGAAGAACCUUACCUACCCUUGACAUGCCCGGAAUCCCGCAGAGAUGUGGGAGUGCCCGAAAGGGAGCCGGGACACAGGUGCUGCAUGGCUGUCGUCAGCUCGUGUCGUGAGAUGUUGGGUUAAGUCCCGCAACGAGCGCAACCCUUGUCACUAGUUGCUACGAAAGGGCACUCUAGUGAGACUGCCGGUGACAAACCGGAGGAAGGUGGGGAUGACGUCAAGUCCUCAUGGCCCUUAUGGGUAGGGCCUCACACGUCAUACAAUGGCCGGUACAAAGGGCUGCCAACCCGCGAGGGGGAGCUAAUCCUGGAAAGCCGGUCGUAGUCCGGAUUGCAGUCUGCAACUCGACUGCAUGAAGUCGGAAUCGCUAGUAAUCGUGGAUCAGCAUGUCACGGUGAAUACGUUCCCGGGCCUUGUACACACCGGCUAC